rnacentral:rRNA from 1 species
GAGUUUGAUCCUGGCUCAGGAUGAACGCUGGCGGCGUGCUUAACACAUGCAAGUCGAGCGGAGCACAUCGUUGGAAUCCUUCGGGAGGAAGAGGAUGUGGCUUAGCGGCGGACGGGUGAGUAACGCGUGGACAACCUGCCCUAUGCAGGGGGAUAACAUCCGGAAACGGGUGCUAAUACCGCAUAAGCGCACAGUACCGCAUGGUACAGUGUGAAAAGCUGAGGCGGCAUAGGAUGGGUCCGCGUUGGAUUAGGCAGUUGGCGGGGUAACGGCCCACCAAACCGACGAUCCAUAGCCGGCCUGAGAGGGUGGACGGCCACAUUGGGACUGAGACACGGCCCAGACUCCUACGGGAGGCAGCAGUGGGGAAUAUUGCACAAUGGGGGGAACCCUGAUGCAGCGACGCCGCGUGGGUGAGGAAGUACUUCGGUAUGUAAAGCCCUAUCAGCAGGGAAGAAAAUGACGGUACCUGACUAAGAAGCCCCGGCUAAC